rnacentral:misc_RNA from 1 species
GAAUGAAAAAAUAAUUCAUCUAUAAAAAAAGACAGGCGGGGCGCAUUAUUGUGAGACAGAGGUGCGUGGGUCGGGACCCGCCCUUUCUAAUUAUUAGCGGAUCGGGCCCCAGAGACCGUUGAAAUUUUUUAAUAUUAAAAAAGGUUUCGGUUUCUUGAAAAGGACGGGUCGGGCCCAACGUACAUACCGAAAUGGAUUCAGCUUUGCGUCUCCCCAGGUGCCGGCCUUUUCUAAAAUGUUAAAAUGAAGCUUUGGGCCUUUUCGCUGUUGGAUAUAAAUUUUAAUGCAACAUUUACACUAAUGGUUUCAACUGUUUGUGUGGAAUCUUCAGCUUCGUAUGCAACAUGUUGUACCAGUUCUGCUUUGUCACAUUCACUGGUUUUGGAACCUCUGUUCUAGCUGAGACUUUCAAGCAAAUGAACACCAUAGUUCUCUCUCAAGCUUUGCCUUGCUUCUGAUGACAGUUUGGUCAUUGCUUAUAACUAGAACUGCCAACCUUGUUUGAUAAUGAAGACUUGUCCUUCAAACUGCUACUUAAAAUGGUUUCAGAAUUGCUUGACUGACUUUCUGCAGCCCCAGGUCUCAUCCAGAUUUUUAUGUGGCCCUCUCGGCAAACACUAAGAACAGAUUCUUGAGUAAAUAUAAGGCCAGAAAGUGGUUCAGUGUGAACACGAUGAGCAACUACUGGGGAAAGCUUCGGUACGUCUCGCAUGCUUGGAGCAGGUUGCAGGGUACCAACUGGGACAGCAUUUUCCCAAUGUGAAGACUGACUUCCUGUACUGAAAGUGGGAGACCCACCAGGAGGGCACCGACGUAAUGGCACAACAAUCUCAUCCAUUUCUAAGUCCCACAACAGCAACUGUGUGUCCUGUUCAGAAAUAGGUAAGUUGCAUCAAGAUUAAUUAUGGGAAGCUCAAAGCAUACAGGUACGAACAUUGGGAAAAAAAAUUAUACAUAUAUAAAAGACUACAGAUCACAAGUUCAACUUCACUGCUUUAGGCAAUCUUCUUCACUUUGCCCAAAUAUCACAGCCUCUUUCUCAAGUGUUCAAAAAAUAAAUCAGAAGGCAAAAUACAUCUAGGGUAAACAAUUAUCUAUAACUUUCCAAUCUCUCCUUUUGGGUAAACCUUAUAUUCUUCUAAAUAAAACGUAUGAAAUUUCAUCACUUCUUAUCUUGCUCUGAAUCAAUCUUUUCAUCUGCCCUCACCUACAAAAACUUCACAUUGACAUUUUCUGCUUUGGCAAACAACACGGAGUGAUAACUUUCAAUCUACUCAAACAGUUGCUUAAACCACAUCCUCACACACUCCCUAAUUCUAAUACUUCCUAGAAUUAAAACUCCGUAUUAUUGGUCUGGCUUUCCAUUGGAGCUCAUAAGCAUCAUGCAAGGUUCAACAUAUUGCUAACCUCUACUUUGAGUCAACCGUCAACCAUCAACCAUCAAAAAGUUACUUUUGUGCUUAUCAAUCCAACCUACCAUUUAGUUUUUUUCAUAUUAGUUCCACAAAAGUUCCUCACAAUCUAUGCUUACCAUAUCUGGCUUAGAAAUUAAAUUGCAAUCAGCUAGCUAUGCAGUGCACACAAAUCAAACCAUUGUUGAUAAUUACCUACCUGAACUGCCACAUUGACAGCAUGCAAGGAUCAAACAUAUGUGACUAGAAAAAAUAAAUAUAUUAGGAAGUUGAAUGUUGACGUUAAUAAAUAACUACUUGAAAGGAAGAAAUCUCCAUGAAUGUUUAUUUUUUAAGACAAACCAAUAAUCCUUCUAAAUACCUGACCAACAGAUCCAAACCGAUACAUUACAGUCUCUCCUGU